GAUGAACGCUGGCGGCGUGCUUAACACAUGCAAGUCGAACGGAAAGGCCAGUGCUUGCGCUGGUACUCGAGUGGCGAACGGGUGAGUAACACGUGGGUGAUCUGCCCUGCACUUCGGGAUAAGCUUGGGAAACUGGGUCUAAUACCGGAUAGGACCAUUGGUUGGUGCCUUUGGUGGAAAGUUUUUCGGUGUGGGAUGAGCUCGCGGCCUAUCAGCUUGUUGGUGGGGUAAUGGCCUACCAAGGCGUCGACGGGUAGCCGGCCUGAGAGGGCGUACGGCCACAUUGGGACUGAGAUACGGCCCAGACCCCUACGGGAGGCAGCAGUGGGGAAUAUUGCACAAUGGGCGCAAGCCUGAUGCAGCGACGCCGCGUGGGGGAUGACGGCC
rnacentral:rRNA from 1 species